rnacentral:rRNA from 1 species
AAGCCCCGCAAGGGGUAAGUAGAGUGGCAAACGGGUGAGUAACACGUGGGUGACCUGCCUUCGAGCGGGGGAUAACGUCCCGAAAGGGACGCUAAUACCGCAUGACAUCCUGCCUUUGAAGAGGUGGAGAUCAAAGCUGGGGAUCGCAAGACCUAGCACUCGAAGAGGGGCCCGCGCCUGAUUAGCUAGUUGGUGGGGUAACGGCUCACCAAGGCGACGAUCAGUAGCCGGCCUGAGAGGGCGGACGGCCACACUGGGACUGAGACACGGCCCAGACUCCUACGGGAGGCAGCAGUGGGGAAUCUUGCGCAAUGGGCGAAAGCCUGACGCAGCAACGCCGCGUGGGGGAUGAAGGUCUUCGGA